CACCCACCCUCUCCCAUCCCGCCAGUCCUUAUCAUUGUGUUCCCAGCAUCCCUGAUGCUUGGCUCGCUGAUGUCACAGGGGAAGAAUGUCACAAUGCAUGGUUGCAUGGUGUCCCCACUGCUUUAAAAGGAGAAAAUGUGUGCGAUCAGCCUCACUCUGCUUUGAAGAAGCCUUUGACAACACUGUAAGGGUCACAAGGAAAUGAGAAUGGCAUUUUCGGUCCUUUGGCAGUCAUGGAGGAGUUUGGGAGUCAUGUCAGUGACAUUGGCAAUGGUGUUUGGGGUUAUGUCAGAAUCAGAGCCGAUGGAGAUUCGAAGCCCUGCUGAGCUCUUACUUGGAGAAUGGGUGAAUGAUCUUAAAUCUCACGUGGUCAUAAACUCUACAGAAGGUGCAACAAUCAGAGGUCUAUAUCAAACUAUCGUCGGAGCAUCGAAGAA